GACGGAGGGGGCAAGCGUUGUCCGGAAUCACUGGGCGUAAAGCGCGCGUAGGUGGCGCGGUGCGUCGGUGCUGAAAGCGCCGGGCUUAACCCGGCGAGGUGUGCCGAUACGACCGGGCUCGAGGCCAGCAGAGGGUGGCGGAAUUCCAGGUGUAGCGGUGAAAUGCGUAGAUAUCUGGAGGAACAUCGGUGGCGAAGGCGGCAUCCUGGACCGGUAUUGACGCUGAGGCGCGAAAGCCAGGGGAGCAAACAGG
rnacentral:rRNA from 1 species